rnacentral:lncRNA from 1 species
AAGCAUUGAGCAACUACAUCGAACAAAGCAUCUCCAAAAAAUCAGUGGUAAAAGUCUCACUUCAGUUAUGUGGUCUCACCAAAAAAUGAUGAAUGGGUUACCUUUGCCACACCAGACACGAUCACUAUCUGUGGCCAUUAAUGUUACCUCACUUUCAUCUUAUUCAUUCCGUUUUCCUUCAAUAACACAAUAUUGGUAGGUCGACGAAAAAUAUAGAUCAAAACUGCUCCUGGAAAUAUAGAUCAAAACUGCUCUGAAUAAAAUCCAAAUCUGAUUAAACUGCAAGAGGACAGAACAGAUCAUUCAGUCCAUAAUUUCAAUGACCUUCGGAUUUGGUAACGUAAAAGUAAUUAGGGAAAGAGUAAUACAUUACUGAAUCCCACCUACCUUACUGACGGGAACAUUGACGCCAAUGGUAAUGUUUCGGUCUGAUUGAGAGAGCAUAACGGACAUGAGUAAAGAAAAGAGAAUAGUUUGAUAGAGCGGCAAGUAGAGCCCAGCUGCAAGGAGCCCCUCGUAUUCUCUCCUGUCACAGGCUCACAGCCACACCAACCAGAUCGACAGAUCGUUGUUCUUCACGCCAG